UACGUAGGGUGCAAGCGUUGUCCGGAAUCAUUGGGCGUAAAGAGCGUGUAGGCGGCCCGAUCAGUCCGCUGUGAAAGUCCAGGGCUCAACCCUGGAAUGCCGGUGGAUACUGUCGGGCUAGAGUCCGGAAGGGGCGAGUGGAAUUCCUGGUGUAGCGGUGAAAUGCGCAGAUAUCAGGAGGAACACCGGUGGCGAAGGCGGAUCUCUGGGCCGAUACUGACGCUGAGGAGCGAAAGCAUGGGGAGCGAACAGG
rnacentral:rRNA from 1 species